UUCAGUGUGGCUGGGGCAGAGCCCCACAGGACGUCAUAAAGUCUGUCACUCUUGCUCCGACAGUCUGUUUCCACAUGUUCUCUGUCUCUAUGUCUCAAUUUGCUAUGUUACGGGUUUUUCCCUGAUUUUUCCUGCUGCUGACUACUUCGUUCGUGUGGCAAAUGAAAAUAGCUACCAAUCCCCUCAUUUGCAUUUUCCUUUCAUCUGGUGAUUUAAGAAGAAACAAGAACAUCUCCUCCAAAGCUCUGGGAGAAGAAAUAAUGGGAAGAACAUUAAUUGACCCAGUUUGCGCCACAUGCACAUGUCUGAAUGAAUCAUGGCGACCAAGGGUAUGGAGAGGCGUGGGCCACAAGCCCUGGGGUGGAAACUCUCCCAUGUGGCAGCUGGCCCUGCCCAGGAGUAUGGUCAGACCAGAAAGAGAGUCACUGCUGAGUGAUUCUGCCAUCUGACUUCCUCAGCCCAGAGCACAUUCAAUUUAGUUCAUAAGGACGAAUGACUCUGAUUCCACAUAAAAGUGAGCUCACUCCUUUGAAAGGACAGAAAGCACAC